AUGUAUUAUCAACUUUUGGCCAAGAUCAAAGAUCCUGGCAUACCCUUAAAUGUACCAGAACAAGAGGAACCUACAAUAAGAAACUGGAAUUAUAAAAUAAUUUCUGAACUCAACUGUAACUAUGGUAACCUUCAUUCACUGACAGGACCGCCCAGCUUCUUCACAGCUGGAAGCCACAUACCACAGCCUCUGCAUACCUACCCAGCUGCAAGUUCCAGGGGUACCACAUGGGCAUGUGGCUCCUCUACCACAACUGCUACGUGCAUGCAAGUAGGUGGCCCCACCUUCACACUUCCUUGUCUGUGGGCUCACCCUCUGUACCCCACCAUGGGCUUGCUGUGCCUAGAGAGAGAAGGGGUGGGAAGCCUAGGAAAGCACCAGCCAGACCAAUGUGUGAAGUGGUGGCCAGGGAAAGCCCAGGGACUGCAGAUUAACCCCUCAUGCUUCUAUGAGGUCUGGAAAUCACCAUUUGGAUGGUUCUGGUUUAGAAAAUAAUCCGGCAAGUUUAUAAAGCAGCAUUUUUAUUUUUGGUGGAUUGACUUUGCUGAUGAGAAUGUCUUCACUGCUCCUACUAUCAGCUGACUGCCCAGAAAAAUCACUAGCUGAGGCAGGAUAAGGCAAAAGAAGAAGACAGUUAUAACAAAGCAUCCUUACUAAUUACAGUUCCUGUUCAGCUCUGUGGGCUGGUCAUAGACAGCAACAGAAACCCCC
rnacentral:lncRNA from 1 species